rnacentral:lncRNA from 1 species
GCUCAUCCAGGUAAGAGGCAAAGAAAGCAAAUAAGGGAUUUUGUUGAAAUCUUAUAGUCAACAAGGCAUAAAAAUUAGAAAGGAGCUCCGGUUCAGUCUUUGUUCCGCAAAACUCCUACCCUAUUGGAAAAGUAAAUUUACAUUCUUGAGUCUCAGCGAUAAGCUCCAGGUAAUUGUAUAUAUUUUUUCCUUCUUUUGAAACAGUAGUAAUUUUUAGAUACAUGACUCCUCGUGAGACUAAGUAAAUAUAAAGUUGGGAUUUGAUUCUGAGUUAAAAAGAGGAGGUUAGGGAAUUGAGAGAAAUCCGUAAGAUUUUCCAUGAAUUAAGCAGUUAUAUUAUAUGAAUAGGCUAAAAAGUUAUAGAUUAUGGACUAAUUGAAUUACUUAUAGUAUGGGUAAAUAUAAUUCAGCGAAUUAAGAGUCAAACAUGAAGUCCAAGGGCUAGGUAUUCUAAAUUAGCUAUAAAUUAGCCUAAACAUGGAAAUUAACAUGAGAUCGAUAUUAUGUAAUUAUAAAUUUAUUGGAAGAAGUUGUACGAAUUGCUCGAGGUGAAGCAUUUAGUAUUUCGGCACGAGUAUAGUGAGUAGUAAUCUUACCACAAUUUGUGUUUUAUUAACUUGCAUGACUUACACAUGAUUUUUAAUAUGAAUAUGUUAUCGAUUAUUUUGAGUUGCAUGUGGGACAAGUCUUUUACUUGAUAUGAUACCGAAAUAGUUAUUUGAGAUGAUUACCAUUGUUUUAAAUAUUUCCGUUGUCACUAAAUAUGUUUUACCGUUACUUGAAUUUACUACUAUUAAAAUAAAAUUACAUGAUUUGAUAAGAACUGAAAUGCCCUAUAUUAUUUUAAAAUAUUUUUCUACGGGUAUAUACUAAUUACAGAGACAAGUAUAAAUGGGAGUAUACAUUAGAGGAUCCCGUAGCUAACGGCGGGUUCGUUAGACCUGGUGAACCUUGUAAUUACCGACUAUCGUUACAGCCCUCGCUAGUGGGAAGGUAGAACUAGCAUACCGUUAUUGAUUUUCCUUGAGUAGGGACUACCGUUAUAUUUGACUUUUUACAAAGAAGUCGACAAUUAUACCGAUUACAUGAUAUGUUCAUUGAAACCUCCCAAACAUGAAUAUUGAUAUUACACAGUAUUUACCGAGCUUAUUACUGAAUAUUACAUGAAAAACAUGAUGAGAGUGAUUAUUAUCUAUUGUUUCUGAAAGAGCAUUCAUAUGAUAUUUUCUGUUUAAUAUAUAUACUAGCAUGUUUUUUGACUUGUCCCCAAUAAAAACGGUUGUGGUUAAGUGUUAUUACUCACUGAGCUAGCGACUCAUUCCCUGCUAAUUUUUUUUACAGAGACAACAGUCGAAGCGGACGAGGAUUUCGUUAAUUAGAGCACACAACUUGAUAGUUUUUGGUGAGCCUCACACUUAUUCGCGUGGGCGAAGAUUUUAUUUAUUGUUAAAUCUUUUCUUUGAACUCUUAGAGUCGCU